GACAAACGCUGGCGGGGUGCAUGAGACAUGCAAGUCGAACGGGGUUGAUCGGGCUUGCUCGAUCAACCUAGUGGCGGACGGCUGAGUAACGCGUAGGUGACCUACCCGGAAGUGGGGAAUAACUGCCCGAAAGGGUGGCUAAUACCGCAUGUGGUCGGCGAAUCGGAUCGCCGUCCAAAGCCGAAAGGCGCUUCCGGAGGGGCCUGCGUCCGAUUAGCUAGUUGGCGAGGUAACGGCUCACCAAGGCGACGAUCGGUAGCUGGUCUGAGAGGAUGAUCAGCCAGACUGGGACUGAGAACGGCCCAGACUCCUACGGGAGGCAGCAGUCGGGAAUUUUGCCCAAUGGACGAAAGUCUGAGGCAGCAACUCCGCGUGAGGGAUGAAGGCCUUCGGGCCGUAAACCUCUUUUCCCAGGGAAGAUCCAAGACGGUACCUGGGGAAUAAGCCACGGCUAACUACGUG
rnacentral:rRNA from 1 species